rnacentral:rRNA from 1 species
UACGUAGGGUGCAAGCGUUGUCCGGAAUUAUUGGGCGUAAAGAGCUCGUAGGCGGUCUGUCACGUCGGAUGUGAAAAUCCAGGGCUUAACCCUGGACCUGCAUUCGAUACGGGCAGACUAGAGUUCGGUAGGGGAGACGUGGAAUUCCUGGUGUAGCGGUGAAAUGCGCAGAUAUCAGGAGGAACACCGGUGGCGAAGGCGGGUCUCUGGGCCGAUACUGACGUGAGGAGCGAAAGCGUGGGGAGCGAACAGG